GCACCAGAGAGGAGUGGGAGCAGGUGUAACAAUUUGACCAAGGAGAGUGAUGGAAUGCUGCAUCAGAUGACCUGGCCUCCACAACCACCCAAGCUCAACCCAAUUCAGAUUUGUGAUUAGUUUGACUGCAGAGUGAAGGAAAAGCAUCCAACAAGUGCUCGGCAUAUGGGGAAACUCCUCCAAGACUGUUGGGAAAGCAUUCCAGGGUAAAGACAAGACGGAUGUAAUAAACAGAUGGAGGGAGAGAGGGAUGAGAGAGACCUGUUUCUACUCGUCCUCCUCUGUGCUGGAGCUGGGCGGUAGGAGGACACACUCCUGUCUUCGGCUCUUGGACGCCCUCCUCUUCCUCCUCCCUGGCAUCUUCAGCCUCCUGUGGAUCACAUCUAAGACACACAACACGCACCCCUUGUUAGAACAACUGAAAAAGAGGCUUAACAGUUGGGUCAACAGCAAGUUAUACUGUCUGCUUUGAUCCACGGCGCCGCGGUUCCCGUGUGCCGCCGUCGACUGCAGCCAAUCACAGACCUCCGACGUGGUCACAUGGGACAGCUCCAGCGUGCGACCCCAGGACACCAGCGCUAACGGCUUCAACAGGAUAGAGAUUCAGUCACCACAGGGUCAUGUUCAGUAGGAACCAAAAGGAAGACAACGGCCUUAAUCCCCAUCCAACCUGACAGAGCAUGAGAGGAUCUGCAGAGAAGAAUGGGGAAAAACUCCACAAAUACAGGUGUGCCGAGCUUGUAGCAACAUACUGUACCCAAGAAGACUCAAGUGUGUAAACGCUGCCAAAAGUGCUUUAACAAAGUACUGACUACUUAUGUAAAUAAGGUAUUUCUGUUUUUUAUUUUUAAUACAUUUGCAAAAAUAAAAAAUAAAACGUUUUUGCUUUGUCAUAAUGGGGUAUUGUGUGUAGAAUGAUGAGGAUUUAAAAAAAAUCCAUUUGAAAAUAAGGCUGUAAUCUAUCAUAAUGUAGAAAAAGUCAAAAGGUCUGAAUCAUUUCCGAAUGCACUGCAUACCACACCCCCUCGUGCCUUAUUGCUUAAAUAGCACACCUGCCUGAUAAUAUGGGCCAAUAUGAUAUUGGGCUCAAUUCUAGAGGGGAACACUUUAUUUUAAAUGGUGUUAAAGCAUCAUUUUUUAGUCCUGUUCAUUUUGGAGUAACAAGUUCGAGGCGCUGCGUGCUAAUGGUUAGUUCGGCUGUCUGUCAAUAAAUGAAGGAGUUUCAGAUUGAUUCUCGUGAGCGAUUGGAUAGCAUGCACUGCAGACUUGGCAUAAUUUGAUUACUGCCAGCGUUGAUUAGACUGCUCCAGGCAGUGGUCUCGUGUGGGUAUGAUUGUAAUCCAAACCCAACCCUCAUGUAAAUCGUGACGACCUCAGUUACACAAUCUCACAAAACUCACUGAAAGGAUCCUACUUACACUUUUAUUUAGUCAAUUUUGGCACUGGAAGGAAUGUUUCUGACUACUAUCAAUGCCACGCAGUCUGUUUUCAAUCAGAUGUUGAUUUUUGCCUUCACUUGUUGCUCUUUAAAGUAAUACAUACAAAGCCACUUUUGAAUAUCAGUUGGGUUAUUCCUCACGAAAUCAGAACAAAAAUAUACCAUGAUUUAUUAUUUAUUUUUCUUGACAUUUAAUCCAUAGAAUGGCCAUUUGGAGGAAGGAUUGUUGACAUAUAUUAGACAUUUGUAUCUAAAAUAAUAAUCGAGAAACAAUUGAUCAAAGAUGGCAUAUUUAUGACAUUUUAGCCUCACCCAGAGGCCUAGUGGCGACCCGUCAUUCAGGGCAGAGCCCCACCUGUUUAGCCUCACCCAGGCCUAGUGGCGACCCGUCAUUCAGGGCAGAGCCCCACCUGUUUAGCCUCACCCAGGCCUAGUGGCGACCCGUCAUUCAGGGCAGAGCCCCACCUGUUUAGCCUCACCCAGGCCUAGUGGCGACCCGUCAUUCAGGGCAGAGCCCCACAUGUUUAGCCUCACCCAGGCCUAGUGGCGACCCGUCAUUCAGGGCAGAGCCCCACAUGUUUAGCCUCACCCAGGCCUAGUGGCGACCCGUCAUUCAGGGCAGAGCCCCACCUGUUUAGCCUCACCCAGGCCUAGUGGCGACCCGUCAUUCAGGGCAGAGCCCCACCUGUUUGACCUGUACAUACACUACCCAGCUCGCUGGUCACCAUAGCAUCACCCACCUGUAGCACGCGCUCCAGCAAGUAUAUCUCUCUGGUCACCCCCAAAAACCAUUUCUUUCUUUGGCCGCCUCUCCUUCCAGUUCUCUGCUGCCAAUGACUGGAACGAACUACAAACAUCUCUGAAACUGGAAACACUUAUCUCCCUCACUAGCUUUAAGCACCAACUGUCAGAGCAGCUCACAGAUUACUGCACCUGUACAUAGCCCACCUAUAAUUUAGCCCAAACAACUACCUCUUUCCCUACUGUAUUUAUUUAUUUAUUUAUUUAUUUUGCUCCUUUGCACCCCAUUAUUUUUAUUUCUACUUUGCACAUUCUUCCACUGCAAAUCUACAAUUCCAGUGUUUUACUUGCUAUAUUGUAUUUACUUUGUCACCAUGGCCUUUUUUUUGCCUUUACCUCCCUUAUCUCACGUCAUUUGCUCACAUUGUAUAUAGACUUGUUUAUACUGUAUUGUUGACUGUAUGUUUGUUUUACUCCAUGUGUAAGUCUGUGUCGUUGUAUGUGUCGAACUGCUUUGCUUUAU